rnacentral:rRNA from 1 species
UACCAGCACCCCGAGUGGUCGGGACGAUUAUUGGGCCUAAAGCAUCCGUAGCCGGUCCUACAAGUCUUCCGUUAAAUCCACCUGCUUAACAGAUGGGCUGCGGAAGAUACUAUAGGGCUAGGAGGCGGGAGAGGCAAGCGGUACUCAGUGGGUAGGGGUAAAAUCCUCUGAUCCAUUGAAGAACACCAGUGGCGAAGGCGGCUCACUGGCCCGGUACUGACGCUGAGGCACGAAAGCGUGGGGAGCAAACAGG